rnacentral:piRNA from 1 species
UGUCUGCCGUGACUAUUACUAUUUAGCUGA